rnacentral:misc_RNA from 1 species
GAUGAAGAACGUAGCGAAAUGCGAUAAUUAAUGUGAAUUGCAGAAUUCAGUGAAUCAUCGAGUCUUUGAACGCACACUGCGCCCCCUGGUAUUCCGGGGGGCAUGCCUGUCCGAGCGUCAUUGCUGCCCUCAAGCCCGGCUUGUGUGUUGGGCCUUGCUCCCCCGGGGGCAGGCCCGAAAGGCAGUGGCGGCACCGCGUCCGAUCCUCGAGCGUAUGGGGCUUUGUCACCCGCUCUGUAGGCCCGGCCGGCGCUUGCCGACCCCAAUCAAUCUUUUUUCAGGUUGACCUCGGAUCAGGUAGGGAUACCCGCUGAACUUAAGCAUAUCAAUAAGCGGAGGA